rnacentral:rRNA from 1 species
AUUGAACGCUGGCGGCAUGCCUUACACAUGCAAGUCGAACGGUAACAGGUCUUCGGAUGCUGACGAGUGGCGAACGGGUGAGUAAUACAUCGGAACGUGCCCGAGAGUGGGGAUAACGAGGCGAAAGCUUUGCUAAUACCGCAUACGAUCUCAGGAUGAAAGCAGGGGACCGCAAGGUCUUGCGCUCACGGAGCGGCCGAUGGCAGAGUAGGUAGUUGGUGGGAUAAAAGCUUACCAAGCCGACGAUCUGUAGCUGGUCUGAGAGGACGACCAGCCAAACUGGGACUGGGACACGGCCCAGGCUCCUACGGGAGGCAGCAGGGGGGAAUUUUGGACAAUGGGCGGAAGCCUGAUCCAGCCAUGCCGCGUGCAGGAUGAAGGCCUUCGGGUUGUAAACUGCUUUUGUACGGAACGAAAAGACUCCUUCUAAUAAAGGGGGUCCAUGACGGUACCGUAAGAAUAAGCACCGGCUAACUACGUGCCAGCAGCCGCCGCCGUAA